rnacentral:precursor_RNA from 12 species
UGAAAUGGUUUUGAGCUGCUGGGGCCCCCCAUCUGGUCUGAAGACACAUUGUUUCUAUGACUCUUUCAACAAUGUGUCUCAGAUCAGUUGCGGGUCUUUAGAACGCAUAUCAUCAUCUUCA